AAUGGGAUAGCUGGGUCAAAUGGUGGUUCCAUUCCAAGUUUUCUGAAUGGAACCACUAUUUGCUUUCCAGAGUGGUUGUACCAAUUUGCAGUCCCACCAGCAAU
rnacentral:pre_miRNA from 1 species